rnacentral:sRNA from 1 species
CCAAAGCCCGCGUUAGCGAUUGAAGUGGCAUCCUUUUUUUGUUGCCACAUAUGGCAAAAAAAGAUAUAACGGAAAGCGCGACCUUUA